rnacentral:rRNA from 1 species
UACGGAGGGGGCUAGCGUUGUUCGGAAUUACUGGGCGUAAAGCGCGCGUAGGCGGACCUGCAAGUCGGGGGUGAAAGCCCGAGGCUCAACCUCGGAACUGCCUUCGAUACUGCGGGUCUCGAGUCCGGGAGAGGUGAGUGGAAUUCCUAGUGUAGAGGUGAAAUUCGUAGAUAUUAGGAAGAACACCAGUGGCGAAGGCGGCUCACUGGCCCGGUACUGACGCGUGAGGCGC